GCUUGCUUCAGCAGCACAUACUAAAAUUGAAAUGAUACAAAGAAGACUAGCGUGGCCCCUGUACAAGGAUGACAUGAAAAUUUGUGAAACUUUCCAUAUUUUU